AUGAUGUGGAUUAAUUCGAUGACAACGCGAAAAACCUUUACCUACCCUUGACAUGUCUGGAAAGCCGAAGAGAUUUGGCCGUGCUCGCAAGAGAACCGGAACACAGGUGCUGCAUGGCUGUCGUCAGCUCGUGUCGUGAGAUGUUGGGUUAAGUCCCGCAACGAGCGCAACCCUUGUCAUUAGUUGCUACGCAAGAGCACUCUAAUGAGACUGCCGGUGACAAACCGGAGGAAGGUGGGGAUGACGUCAAGUCCUCAUGGCCCUUAUGGGUAGGGCUUCACACGUCAUACAAUGGUCGGGACAGAGGGUCGCCAACCCGCGAGGGGGAGCCAAUCUCAGAAACCCGAUCGUAGUCCGGAUCGCAGUCUGCAACUCGACUGCGUGAAGUCGGAAUCGCUAGUAAUCGCGGAUCAGAAUGUCGCGGUGAAUACGUUCCCGGGUCUU
rnacentral:rRNA from 1 species